AACGAACGCUGGCGGCAUGCCUAACACAUGCAAGUCGAACGAACCCUUCGGGGUUAGUGGCGCACGGGUGCGUAACGCGUGGGAACCUGCCUUUAGGUUCGGAAUAACUCAGAGAAAUUUGAGCUAAUACCGGAUAAUGUCUUCGGACCAAAGAUUUAUCGCCUUUAGAUGGGCCCGCGUUAGAUUAGAUAGUUGGUGGGGUAAUGGCCUACCAAGUCGACGAUCUAUAGCUGGUCUGAGAGGAUGAUCAGCCACACUGGGACUGAGACACGGCCCAGACUCCUAC
rnacentral:rRNA from 1 species